GUUUUUGCUUUGGCAACACAUAUAUUAAAACUGGAAUCAUACAGAGAAGAUUAGAAUGGCCCCUGCUCAAAGAUGCCAUGCAACUUCAUGAAGCAUUCUUUACUUGA